rnacentral:rRNA from 1 species
UACGUAGGGGGCAAGCGUUGUCCGGAAUCAUUGGGCGUAAAGCGCGUGUAGGCGGCUUCGUAAGUCCGUUGUGAAAGUCCAGGGCUCAACCCUGGAAUGCCGAUGGAUACUGCGGAGCUAGAGUCCGGAAGAGGCGAGUGGAAUUCCUGGUGUAGCGGUGAAAUGCGCAGAUAUCAGGAGGAACACCAAUGGCGAAGGCAGCUCGCUGGGACGGUACUGACGCUGAGACGCGAAAGCGUGGGGAGCGAACAGG